rnacentral:rRNA from 1 species
GUGAGAUGUUGGGUUAAGUCCCGCAACGAGCGCAACCCCUGCCCUUAGUUGCCAACAGGUUUGGCUGGGAACUCUAAGGGAACUGCCGGUGACAAGCCGGAGGAAGGCGGGGAUGACGUCAAGUCAGCAUGCCCCUUACACUCUGGGCUACACACGUGCUACAUUGGGCGAGACAAUGAGAUGCAAACCUGCGAGGGUAAGCUAAUCUAUAAACUCGUUCUAAGUUCGGAUUGUAGGCUGCAACUCGCCUACAUGAAGGUGGAAUCGCUAGUAAUCGCUGGUCAGCUACACAGCGGUGAAUCCGUUCCCGGGCCUUGUACACACCCCCCGUCACACCAUGGGAGCGGGUU